UGAUAAUUCCCCAUAGCAUCCCAACAAAAUAUGCUUACUAAAUUUGGUCAUAGAUUUCCAAUAACCGAUCUUCAGGUGUUAGGAGCACUUUUGGAUCUCGUUUUCAAUCUAUAAACAUAGUAAAUGAAUAUUUAAAGGAGAAAAAUAUUACUCCGGUGCAAUUUUAUGUCAACAAGCUACCUCUGUGUUGCCUUAAACGGACGAAUUAACCGAAUGUGAAACGAAGAUAAAUAUUUGAUGCCGGCGCGCCAUCCUACACGUUUUAAAAAAGAAACGCCACCAGUCGGUCCGCAUGUCUAGACACAGUUAAAACUAUUGAGACUGUGAGUUUCGGAGCUUUCAUAUGAUCAUAUGUUGUUUUAGAG